rnacentral:rRNA from 1 species
UGAACGCUGGCGGCGUGCCUAAUACAUGCAAGUCGAGCGAACGGACGAGAAGCUUGCUUCUCUGAUGUUAGCGGCGGACGGGUGAGUAACACGUGGAUAACCUACCUAUAAGACUGGGAUAACUUCGGGAAACCGGAGCUAAUACCGGAUAAUAUUUUGAACCGCAUGGUUCAAAAGUGAAAGACGGUCUUGCUGUCACUUAUAGAUGGAUCCGCGCUGCAUUAGCUAGUUGGUAAGGUAACGGCUUACCAAGGCAACGAUGCAUAGCCGACCUGAGAGGGUGAUCGGCCACACUGGAACUGAGACACGGUCCAGACUCCUACGGGAGGCAGCAGUAGGGAAUCUUCCGCAAUGGGCGAAAGCCUGACGGAGCAACGCCGCGUGAGUGAUGAAGGUCUUCGGAUCGUAAAACUCUGUUAUUAGGGAAGAACAUAUGUGUAAGUAACUGUGCACAUCUUGACGGUACCUAAUCAGAAAGCCACGGCUAACUACGUGCCAGCAGCCGCGGUAAUACGUAGGUGGCAAGCGUUAUCCGGAAUUAUUGGGCGUAAAGCGCGCGUAGGCGGUUUUUUAAGUCUGAUGUGAAAGCCCACGGCUCAACCGUGGAGGGUCAUUGGAAACUGGAAAACUUGAGUGCAGAAGAGGAAAGUGGAAUUCCAUGUGUAGCGGUGAAAUGCGCAGAGAUAUGGAGGAACACCAGUGGCGAAGGCGACUUUCUGGUCUGUAACUGACGCUGAUGUGCGAAAGCCUGGGGAUCAAACAGGAUUAGGAUACCCUGGUAGUCCACCCCGUAAACGAUGAGUGCUAAGUGUUAGGGGGUUUCCGCCCCUUAGUGCUGCA